CUCCGGUGAUCCCCGCGGGACCCGACUGCUAUCGGAUUGAGAUUUAGCCAUGCGAGUUGAACGUCUUCUGACUGCAGGAGGCGUAGCAUACGGCUCAGUAACACGUAGUCAACCUGCCCUGGAGACGCGGAUAACCCCGGGAAACUGGGAUUAAUCCACGAUAGGUCACCUCAUCUGGAAGGAGAGAUGGCCCAAAGGGGAAUUGUGAGCAUGUUUCACUACUCUCGCUCCAGGAUGGGACUGCGGCCGAUCAGGCUGUUGGCGGGGUAAAGGCCCACCAAACCUGUAACCGGUACGGGCUUUGAGAGAAGGAGCCCGGAGAUGGACACUGAGACAAGGGUCCAGGUCCUACGGGGCGCAGCAGGCGCGAAACCUUCGCAAUGCGCGAAAGCGUGACGAGGUUAGUCCGAGUGGCUUCCGCUGAGGAGGUCUUUUGCUGGCUCUAAAAAGGCUGGAGAAUAAGGGGAGGGCAAGCCUGGUGUCAGCCGCCGCGGUAAUACCAGCUCCUCGAGUGGUCGGGGCGAUUAUUGGGCCUAAAGCAUCCGUAGCCGGUUCAGUAGGUCUUCUGCAAAAUCCAAUCGCUUAACGAUUGGCCCGCAGGAGAUACCGCUGGACUAGGAGGCGGGAGAGGUGGACGGUACUCCACGGGUAGGGGUAAAAUCCUUUGAUCCGUGGAAGACCACCAGUGGCGAAGGCGGUCCACCAGAACGCGCUCGACGGUGAGGGAUGAAAGCUGGGGGAGCGAACCGGAUUAGAUACCCGGGUAGUCCCAGCCGUAAACGAUGCGAGCUAGAUGAUCCAAUCGCAAAUCGCGAUUGGAGUGUCGCAGGGAAGCCGUUAAGCUCGCCGCCUGGGGAGUACGGUCGCAAGGCUGAAACUUAAAGGAAUUGGCGGGGGAGCA
rnacentral:rRNA from 1 species